GUUUUUGCAUUGAUUUCAUGAUUUUAAGGUUCAAGAAAUUCAAGACUUCAAGAGUACAGCAAAUCACAAAAAGAGAGAGAGUUAAUAUCUCCUACCAAGCACAUUCCCGAGCGAGAGAUGACGGGAGAAGAUUCUAGCAUAAAACGGUGGAGCAUAGAAUUUUUACGCUAUAAUUCCUCUCCCGCAAACACACACACACACACAUACGCGGACAUACUUUUGAAUGAUGUUCCAGCAACGCACACACACACCGAAACGCGUUUGAAUCAUAAAAGAAGCCCACACACACACACACAGGGGCAGUCGGACAAAAUCGCUCAAAGACUAUUCGUAGCAGCAGCAGCGCUCAUGUUCAUGCUCAGUUAAAUUGACGGUCGAAGUCAAGAGGGAAACGAAAAAAAAAACGACGGGCCACAACACCAAAAACUAAACCAAAUCAACAUCGGAACCCAUCAAGCGGCGCUUUUGCCCAAAACUCCACCGAGCAAGACAGCGCUGCGUGUAAUGAAAAUCCGAAGCAUUGGAAGGAGGGACGACUUCUACGGACACAAAAUUAGAUACAACUAACGUUCGCUUCAGCCGGCCACCCGGAAAUGCAUUUCGUUUCGAGUGUCUGCGUGUGUGUGUGCCCAGGGACAGUAGGAGGGUGUUAUAAUGAAGCGUGAUGAGGGCGGCCGAGAGGAAGGUGGAGGUGGUAAUUAAUUUGUCAUAAGCCCUCUGGACCCUCACCUCGGACCAGCGAAACGGUGCGAGUGAGGAUUUUAUGAUUAUUUUAUUUCUAACGUAACUUCUUUUUUUUUUAAAUGCAUUUUUUUCGUUCGAGAGGGAGAACCAGCAGGAAGCAGUGGACCAUUCCAUACACACACACACCCCGACUCGAAAGGUAUGCAAAGUUCACUUUCCGUUAUUAUCUAGGACGGGUCGAGAGUGCUUUAAAUAGAACGGAAGGCAUGCGAAGGCAAACGAGAAAUGGGAAAUAAAAAGCAUCUCGUACAGCCUUGGUACUGAUAAGGAUUACUUACGGCACUCUCUCUCACUCUCGCUCGGCUAUGGCAGUUUGGGAAGCGUUAAGGUAAAGGUAGUAAAGAAUACCUUAGAAUGUAACGUGAAGAAAUGCUUCGUUUACGAUUUUCAGCUGUUAAGAGCAAGGUUAUGAAGGAUAUGACUAUUUUUUUGGCCUAUAAUUAAAUAGAAAAGUCCAGAGAAGAUUACCUUUAGUGAUCAAAAGUCUUCAGGAAGUACAGAAAUUGAGGAUUAUUUCUCAAGUAACGUAAUCGAGGUACUCAUGGUUCCAGAUAUUGUGAAGAACGUUACUUGAUGGUGUUGUGGUAGACAUGUCAGGUCUUCUAACGAAAGAAUCCGGGUGUCAAAUCUCAUCUUCCGUAUGUAGUAGUCAAACUAUCCGACUUCCAGAGAAUAUUGUCGAGGACAACUCUCUUAAAGAAUAUUCUGAGCUUGCUAAUUUCGUUUACCAAUGAUGUGAAUAUGAAGGCAGGCGAUUUCACAAAAAUGUCUGGAAGGCCCAGUCAUUUAACUCUGGAACGUCUGACCAGGACUGUCUCCAUGGCUAAGUUGAGCCUCUAUGCGAAUGCUGGUCAGGCGCUAUAUCACUGGUGGGAUCUCCUUAGAGUUCUGUACCACAAACUCCAUCCACUAGCCGUGCAAUAGCCAUCACACACAAAUUCUUAACAACCAAAAGCACUAAUAAGAAUUUCUAAUCCAUUCAUCCUACUCUCUGGGCUAAGCACUAAUUUAGGACAAUUUUGCGCCCUAGUUCUACCUCCAUACCUUUCAGACUUCUUUGGAUAGAGGACUCAAUAACUUCACAGAGAACCUCAGAGAGAAUCCAAGAAGGUGUCCCGAAUUUACAGACCAACAUCUCCUGGGAUCUAUUAUUUCUAAUAACUGCUGAAUACGAGUAAGCGUCGAAUUCAGAGUAUUUGGAUAGGAGAAACUCUAAGGGCACGAUGCAUGUCUUCCUACCUCACUUCAGAAUAAUAAGACACCAAAACAGCUUCAAAAUAUUAAACAAGUCAAAAUUAUAAUUUAUAGUGUUUAAUUUACAAAACUUCUUAACGACGCCGCACAACAACGCCCCAUACACCACGCUAGGACAAAUUAACAAAUUACGAUUUUUAAUUGAGAAACGCACCAUCUGUUCUCCCUGCAACAUAUUUCACACCCUUGUUUUUUCGUGUUCGGCUGUUCGGUAGCAGUUAAAAUAUUCUUCCCAAUGUGGGCACCCCUCUCGCACGCAGCAUAAAACACAUAAAAGUAUUUCGCAAUCAAAUGCAGUACAAAAUAAAAUUUUUAAUUAAUGCAUUUUUUGGUUUGAUUAUUCAUCUACGACCACUCUGGAGAUAUUGCUUACUGAAGCGCUUAAGAGCAGCGUUCUUCGGUAGGUGUUCGAAAUCGAGACCGAGAAAUUCCACCGCGUACCCAAGUGUCUGGCUGGCGUGAGCGAAUGUGGAAAAACUGGGAGGGCGUGCGGGCAAGUACGAUGCCCUUCAGACAUUAAAAAAUCUUCCAUCAGCGCUCUAUCAGCUUUUUCUUCGCCGUCAACUAAUAUUACCCCUGGCGAUAAGCUGCGGCGGCGUGACAGAACGCGAAACAAAAAUCAUAUCCCCCGAACAAAAAAA